AACGAACGCUGGCGGCAGGCUUAACACAUGCAAGUCGAACGCACCGCAAGGUGAGUGGCAGACGGGUGGGUAACACGUGGGGAUCUGCCCAAGGGUACGGAAUAGCUCCGGGAAACUUGAAUUAAUACCGUAUGUGCCCUUCCGGGGAAAGAGUUAUCGGAAUUAGAUGAGCCCGCGUAAGAUUAGCUAGUUGGUGGGGUAAUGGCCUACCAAGGCGACGAUCGCUAGCUGGUCUGAGCGGAUGACCCGCCACCCUGGGACUGAGACACGGCCCAGACUCCUACGGGUGGCAGCAGUGUGGAAUAUUGGACAAUGGGCGCAAGCCUGAUCCAGCCAUGCCGCGUGAGUGAUGAAGGCCUUAGGGUUGUAAAGCUCUUUCACCGAUGAAGAUAAUGACGGUAGUCGGAGAAGAAGCCCCGGCUAACUUCGUGCCAGCCGCCGCGGUAAUAC
rnacentral:rRNA from 1 species